rnacentral:tRNA from 1 species
UCCUGCAACUGGGUUUAAGUCCUGNUUCUAUCA